CCUUUAUCUAUGGGCGUGGGAACCUUCGUAUAAUUUUGCAAACGUUUUAUUCGUUGUGUUUGUAUUUUGGGGUAAACCGUGACCCGUGAGUUCUUGUGGAACCCCAAAAAUUUACAGUUGAUUAAGAAAAUGACCUCUAAUGGACAAGAAAAGUUAGUUACAUGUCCAUUCAAUAAACAACACGUUUUCGUAGAAAGCCGAUUACAACCACAUAUAAUUAAGUGCAUGAAAAACCACCCUAAUCAUUAUAGUUGUCUGUACAAUAAUCUGCAUAAAUUUUUGCACGAGCAAGACUUUCAAAAUCAUAUGCUCACUUGUCCAAACAAGACUAUUUUGUUUAAGUGGCGUUACAAUAGGCCUGGACAGCAUGGUGACCUGAGUGAGGCUCCUUAUCACUUGGAUAAUGUGCGUAAUAUCAACUUUAAAUAUGAGAACUGGGAAAUGGAAUAUAAUUAAGCUGAUAUCAUCAAAGGGUUGUCAGUUUUAUAAUUAUUCUCAUCUUUGUUUAAAAAGAUGAAAACAUUUUUUACAUGUUGUAAUGCAAAAAGUACCACUUUAUAUCAAAAAUUGAAACCUUGAUUUAGACUGUGUUAUGGUUUAAUGUGAUAAUCACAAUUACCAACUAAAAUUUAUAAUCUGUUAUGUUUAGCAUACCAUAAAAUCUGACAA